rnacentral:rRNA from 1 species
GACGAACGCUGGCGGCGCGCUUAACACAUGCAAGUCGAACGGAAAGGCCUGCUUUCCCUUGUGGAUUGCGGGUACUCGAGUGGCGAACGGGUGAGUAACACGUGAGUGAUCUGCCCCCAACUUGGGUAUAAGCCUGGGAAACUGGGUCUAAUUCCCGAUAGGACUGCAGGGUGGUGCCUGUGGUGGAAAACGAUUUUCUAGUGGUUGGGGAUGAGCUCGCGGCCUAUCAGCUUGUUGGUGGGGUAAUGGCCUACCAAGGCGGCGACGGGUAGCCGGCCUGGGAGGGUGGACGGCCAAAGUGGAGCUGAGAUACGGGCCAGACUCCUACGGGAGGCAGCAGUGGGGAAUAUGGCACAAUGGGCGGAAGCCUGAUGCAGCGACGCCGCGUGGGGGAUGACGGCCUUCGGGUUGUAAACUCCUUUCGACCGCGAGGAAGCCACCUGGUUGGAAGGGUGGUGACGGUAGUGGUAGAAGAAGCACCGGCUAACUACGUG